CUUCCACCGUUUUCACCAAGAGAAUAGCCAUUGGAGAACUCAAAUUUUUAGCAAACUUAAACCCUUGCACGUUUAUACAGCUAGUUCGGGUUGGAGAUCGCCGAAGAUGUUAUCACACUAUCAAAUUAUCAUUUGGUAUAAGUGAAUAUUGAGGAAGAAAAAAUGGGAACUUACAGAGGUUCUCGUAAAUGAAAUGAGGCAACUUUGGGGAGGUAGGGAGAAUUAUUCUGUGAAAUGAAUCGGGUGAACGAGUCGGAGAUGAAUCGACGGUUCUCAACGACGGAAUCGAGAGAGGCACCACUAUUACGUUCGCUGUUAGGGUGAACAAAUACAGAGUAAAAUUGUCUGGGACAAAAUUUUGUUAUUAUGUCUGUUGUUAAAUAGGCUAUUUUUAGCCCCUUCAUCGAAUGAUGAUUCGGUAAAUCAAAAGAAUAAGAAAGGAAUAAACAUUCAUCGAAUGAAGAGAGCAGUGAAUCAAACUAUAGCUUCACUGUUCAUCCAAGAAUAAGGAAGGAAUGACUAUUCCAUUCCCCUCAACUAAA